GUGAGCGUAGCUCAGUUGGUAGAGCCCUGGGUUGUGAUCCCGGUGGUCGUGGGUUCGAGUCCCAUCGCUCACCCCA
rnacentral:tRNA from 1 species